rnacentral:rRNA from 1 species
GACGAACGCUGGCGGCGUGCUUAACACAUGCAAGUCGAACGAUGAAGAAGAGAAACGCGAACUUCGGUUCAAAUUUCACUUCGGAUUAGUGGCAGACGGGUGAGUAACGCGUGAGCAACCUACCUCUUACAAAGGGAUAGCCUCGGGAAACCGUGAUUAAUACCAUAUGACACAUUCAUAAGGCAUCUUAAGAAUGUUAAAGCUACGGCGGUAAGAGAUGGGCUCGCGUCCCAUUAGCUAGUUGGUGAGGUAACGGCCCACCAAGGCGACGAUGGGUAACCGGCCUGAGAGGGUGAACGGUCACAUUGGAACUGAGACACGGUCCAAACUCCUACGGGAGGCAGCAGUGGGGAAUAUUGCACAAUGGAGGGAACUCUGAUGCAGCGACGCCGCGUGAGCGAUGAAGGAAUUUGUUUCGUAAAGCUCUGUUCUAUGGGAAGAAAAGGACUGUACCAUAGGAGAAAGCCCCGGCUAAAUACGUG